GUCGAGCGAAGUUUUUCUGGUGCUUGCACCGGAAAAACUUAGCGCCGUACGGGUGAGUAACACGUAAAGAACCUGCCUCAUAGACUGGGACAACUAUUGGAAACGAUAGCUAAUACCGGAUAACAGCAUUAACUGCAUGGUUGAUGUUUAAAAGUUGGUUUUGCUAACACUAUGAGAUGGCUUUGCGGUGCAUUAGCUAGUUGGUGGGGUAAAGGCCUACCAAGGCGACGAUGCAUAGCCGACCUGAGAGGGUGAUCGGCCACACUGGGACUGAGACACGGCCCAGACUCCUACGGGAGGCAGCAGUAGGGAAUCUUCCGCAAUGGGCGAAAGCCUGACGGAGCAACGCCGCGUGAGUGAAGAAGGAUUUCGGUUCGUAAAGCUCUGUUGUUAGGGAAGAAUGAUUGUGUAGUAACUAUACACAGUAGAGACGGUACCUAACCAGAAAGCCACGGCUAACUACGUGCCAGCAGCCGCGGUAAUACGUAGGUGGCAAGCGUUGUCCGGAAUUAUUGGGCGUAAAGCGCGCGCAGGUGGUUUAAUAAGUCUGAUGUGAAAGCCCACGGCUCAACCGUGGAGGGUCAUUGGAAACUGUUAAACUUGAGUGCAGGAGAGAAAAGUGGAAUUCCUAGUGUAGCGGUGAAAUGCGUAGAGAUUAGGAGGAACACCAGUGGCGAAGGCGGCUUUUUGGCCUGUAACA
rnacentral:rRNA from 1 species